ACCUCUCCACCGCUCCCUGAGGUCUCACGCAGAGCUCCAACCCACUUCGGCUUGGAUUUUCCACUCUCGCGGUGCCUGCAGGAAUCGAACUCUCAGGACCUUGCAUUUACCAGGCAGGGACUGUGCCUCUGCGCUACAUCCUGGGCAUGAGAUGAAAAAUUUUAAACAUGAACAAAGAAUUAACUUCUAUGCUGCUAAGAACCAAGUCCAUUUUGAAAAACGACUUUGCAAUGUGAAAAGCCUGAGUCUACAUCCUCGUUCCUUCUGGCCCAGUGGUGUGAACCUUUUAGAGGGGUGAGUUUUUCUUACCCCACUUCUUGGCAGGGAUCACAAGCCCAGGAAUGUUGGAAGAGGCAGGAAAGCUGACUCUGGCCUGGAGGAAGAGGGCAGCCCUGCCCACACCACGUUUUACUGGCCUUUCAGCCUGUAAGCAUUAAGAAAUGAACAUAUAUAUUUCUUUUUUACUGAUUGUUUUUCUUUGAAGAAUUGCUUUCCUUCUUUCUUUUUUUUUAUCAUUUGUUGAAUUGACC
rnacentral:lncRNA from 1 species